rnacentral:rRNA from 1 species
UCCUACGGGGGGCAGCAGUGGGGAAUAUUGCACAAUGGGGGAAACCCUGAUGCAGCAACGCCGCGUGGGUGAAGAAGCGCCUCAGCGCGUAGAGCCCUGUCAGCAGGGAAGAAAAUGACGGUACCUGAAGAAGAAGCCCCGGCUAACUACGUGCCAGCAGCCGCGGUAAUACGUAGGGGGCAAGCGUUAUCCGGAUUUACUGGGUGUAAAGGGGGCGCAGACGGCGAUGCAAGCCAGGAGUGAAAGCCCGGGGCCCAACCCCGGGACUGCUCUUGGAACUGCGUGGCUGGAGUGCAGGGGGGGCG